AUGUCAUGAUGUGAACACUUACUAAGCAAGUCAUUGAGGCGCUCCCAUGCCUCAUGAAGCAAUUCCCCUUCCUCUUGAGAAAAUUCUCUAAUUAAAGUUCUCAUUGC